rnacentral:lncRNA from 1 species
UUUUUUUUUUUUUUUCUUUUUUUGCAUUAUCAUUUAUCACAUUCCUAUUUGUCAACAAAUUGUUACCUAAAAUGCAUGUUAGAAAGGCUUUCUUUAUAAAAUGCUGGCAUGAAGAUGCAAACUAAUGUUUGUAACUAGUGAAACAGUCAGAGUCCUGAUUCAGACAUUAUUUAAACAUUCAUAACUUGCAGGAAAUGUGCACAGUUGAUAGCGCUGCCAGAGAAUCUGACUGCCUUCUGACUACUGGCAGGAGUACUGAGGAGGGUGGGAGGCUGGAGUAGCAUAGUGUGUUUUAUUUAGAAAUCUGUAGUAGUGUUUGUCAUAAAUAUUGCAAGCCCCGUUUAUGAGCAAGAGGCUUGGCAAGUUUACAGUACAGUAACAUUCACAGAAAACAUGAAAAACAAACCCAAAGCCAUUUCCAUGCAGAGAGCAGCUCUCUCACAGUCACUGAUGUCUCACCUGCUGGCUGGAGCACACCUGCCAUGGACAGAUGCUGCUGAUGGAAAACCCAGAGGUGUUCUAAGCACUGGUGCAUUCCAGCCUCUGGCUGUAACAGUGGGAUCAGGACAAACACAGGGAAAUAAUUUGGUUUGCAAUGGCAAGGACUCUGCCACAGAUAGAUUCUGCAAUCUGAGUUUUGGGAAAAUGCAACUGUGGGUGACAUCUUGCAAGUCCUCCAGCUACUGUGGGCUUCAGGUGAAGCACAGAGCUCAACCCAGGGCUGAACAUCAGGGGCGUGUGGGAGGGGACUGACUCCAGUGGGAUCCAAAUCAAAGCUCAUUAUCUUCUAAGGGCAGACUCAGUUGUCAGCCUGGUGACAAAGGCAGCCCCCACAGAACUGCCACCAGCAGGGCCAGGAAACACAGAGGAGGCCAAAUUAAUCACAGUAACUCCAGAAAUUAAUUUAGCUUCAAGGACUAUGGCAUCAUGCAACUAAUAAUGUUUUCUUUCGAAAAGGGCACAUUCCAAACACUUCCGUAUGUAUGUGCCGUCUCAUGAGCACCCUUGAAGCAAGACUAUCAGAGGAAAAAGGCACUGUGCUAGCCCGAUCCAAAUGCUUAAUUUCCAUUGUCCUGGCCACUUCUUCCUCUGCUGAAGUGAACUGCUUAGAAUAACAGAUUAAGCAGUUUUGGUGGAAGAGAAAACCUCGUAAAUAUAUUAAAUUCUGUCAUUUGCUAAAGUGAUUGCAAGAAAAAUCAAGAAGGAAUGGUGUAACCUGUGUAUUAUUUCAGCUACAACUGAUGUCUUUAUGAAGUGCCUGUUAAAUAAAACCUAAAUGACCCAACAACUGGAGGAAAGGUAUUCCCACAGCAGGGCAUCACUCCUGCAAAUCCCAGCCCCUCAUGGAGCUGCUAGAUCACUUCUUGGAGGAAUACACUAAUGGUAUUUGUAUGAAAGGCAAUUAACAAGAUGGACUAAGGUGUCAUUCCUGCAGACAUGUCAUUCCUGCAUUCACUUGAAUAGCACUUUUGAUGACAAGGGAACAACUUAAAGAAAUAAAGUUAAGACUACACAGAAGUGUAUGGAGGAGCACAGUAAAAGGGGAAAAUGCCCCAUCUUGGGGAAUUGGCAUUAUCAUUAUGCUAGGACUGAUCAGACCUACUUCUGUAGUCAGGAAUGAUUCAAUAGAUGAAUUUUUUAUAAAACUAGGGCUAUAGAAGUGAGGAAUUCCGUAUAUUCUGUAUUAUAAAAACCUUCCACUUAGAUAAUUUUUAAAAUAUAUCUUCUGUGCUAACACAAUAAAAAUAGAUGCUUAGUGGAUGGGAGUGAUGCAGCACUACAGCAGGGACUGUCCCAUCUGCGUGGUUUGAGCAGCUGGAAGAGUUGGCUGUUCCCUCUUUCCCUUCACUACUCAGCCAUUGUCUGCCUGGAGAUGGCAAUGGCACUCUGGUGGGUCAGCUUUCCUAAAAGUCUUCUUCACAGAAGGCUCUGACAUUCCCUAGCUGACAAAUCAUCCAACCUUGGUGUAAAUACACUGCAUGAACUUUAAUGUUUUAUUAAUUAAAAAAACCCAAAACCCUAAAC